ACGAACGCUGGCGGCGUGCUUAACACAUGCAAGUCGAACGGAAAGGCCCCCUUGUGGGGUACUCGAGUGGCGAACGGGUGAGUAACACGUGAGUAACCUACCCUUGACUUUGGGAUAACUUCAGGAAACUGGGGCUAAUACCGGAUAGGAGCUCCUGCUGCAUGGUGGGGGUUGGAAAGUUUCGGCGGUUGGGGAUGGACUCGCGGCUUAUCAGCUUGUUGGUGGGGUAGUGGCUCACCAAGGCUUUGACGGGUAGCCGGCCUGAGAGGGUGACCGGCCACAUUGGGACUGAGAUACGGCCCAGACUCCUACGGGAGGCAGCAGUGGGGAAUAUUGCACAAUGGGCGGAAGCCUGAUGCAGCAACGCCGCGUGCGGGAUGACGGCCUUCGGGUUGUAAACCGCCUUCGCCUGUGACGAAGCGUGAGUGACGGUAAUGGGUAAAGGAGCACCGGCUAACUACGUG
rnacentral:rRNA from 1 species